GGCACUGCCUAGGUGGGCCGGGCGGUGCGAGGGUCGCCUUUCAGCCUUUACCUCUACCCACUGAAAUGGAGUAGGUCGGUGAGCGCCGAUCUGCUGGAGAAUCUCAUUAUCCCAUCGGCGCUCUGCCUGCUCCUGGCCUCCAAGCCUCUGAAGCCCCUCGGGUUUCAGCUGCCGGCUACCCUCGAGCCCGUGGUGCCCACGAGAGAGGCGACUUUACGUCAGCGGCCCUGGGCUGAGAUUUGAGAACGCGACCAAGUGGAGAAUGUUGGAGCCAGAUUUUAAAAUCCUUGUCUUCCUUCUGCGUGCUACUUGAUCUAAAUGAGAUACGGCAAAGUCACAGAACCUGUUUUUAUGUUUUUGCCUGAUUCAUACGGGCUUCUCCGGUGAAGAUGGGCCUGAAGUAACGCUUGGGUUGCUUCUGACGUUAUAACUCAUCCUGUAGCUGCAGCAACCGUGGUCCUUGCAACCUCAUAAAAAUGUUGCCAGCAUUGUUUCGAUAGUGCUGCUUAAUUCUUGGAAGGCCUCUUUGCUUUCUUCCCUGAGGUUCUUCGGACUUCACACAUUCCAGCAGUAGCUCUCUCAGCUCCUGUCCUGCACAGCUUUGAAGUGCUGGACACAGCCCUGGUGAUGGCUUUCUGAGGAUGACACGAUGGAGGCUUCUCCAAUAGCUCUAAAACUGCGGUGUGGAAAACAUUCGGCAGCCUCAAAGAGCGGUCUUGUUGACCCCAACUAUAUCAUUUUUCAUCAAAAUCAUUCUUGUAAAGAAUGACCAGGCAACACUCUUUGAAAAUUGGAGGCCAUUUGCAGCUGCUCUCUGUUGAGGAAAGUGAAUAAUAGGGUGCCCUCAAGGAAUUGCAAAGGUAUCACUCAACAGAAACUUUCGUGUCUGAAGAAAACUAGAUCAUUUUAUCAUGGGACACGCUGCGGAUGGCUUGAGAUUAGUAUCUGCGCAGGUGCCAUUCUCACAGUGUGUGCUGUGAGAAUGUCGCAGACGUGUGCUGCUACUCUGGCACUCACACUUGUCCAGGCUGUUUCUUAGUCCUAAGUUAGUGGCAUGAAAGCACUGCCCUGGAAGCGAUGGAGCAGCAAGUGCUCUACCCACAUGGAAGUCUUUGGGACCUGCACUUCAAUGAGCGCAGAGAGGAAAAGGAGAGAAGAACCAACACAACUGAAGCACCUACGAGCGUCAGGCACUGGCCCAGCUGCCAUGGACCCCCGAGUUGAAGGUCGUAUAACCUCAGCCUGCCCAAAUGAACCAAGCACACAACCACAGGGGGAACCCAAGAGUUCCAGUGGGAGAGCUGGAAGAGGAGGGACCAAUGUGAGAAGUGGACACCAUAUGGCAGGAUCCAGGAUCCAAUCAGACUGAGCCCUGGGGUCACCCCAUGGAAGGAUCCAGUUGGAUCAUGCCUCCUGGCAUCACCUACUGCAAGAUCCAAUCAGAUCACACCUCCUUACCCUAUGCUUAUAAAACCCCACCCAGCCCCCAGCCCGAAGAUACAGAUUUGAGUAUUUCCUCCUGUUUCCUUACCAGUCGAUUUGCAAUAAAGCUUUUUUUUUUUUCCUAAA
ensembl:lncRNA HULC hepatocellular carcinoma up-regulated long non-coding RNA